rnacentral:lncRNA from 1 species
CCUCCUGCCUUUAAGGAAAGGACCACUUCGACUCUCCCCCCUUCUCCAUUUCUCUAGUGGCAUAGACUAUGCAGCCUAGAGCUUCUCACAACGGGAAGCAGCCACCGUGCAUAAUAUUUCAAUCCCACACAGAUAUCCCCCCUCUUACAAGCGGAUGGGUUCCAUAAAGAAGACUUCUCAAUUAGCCCGUCCCUGUUAAAGGGGGCAGGGAAGCGUUGCCCACAGGGUCUACCUCCUGCCUCAUGAGAGAGCGCCUGCAAAGAGACAAUUCCUUCCUCCCUGUAGGCACAGGGGCACUCUACAACCCGCCCCCUGGCUCCUGUCCUAUUAGACAUGCACACAGAAAAGAAACCAAACCCCAUGCAAGAGUCGCUCACCUAAAAGAACUUUAAGAAAUGUCUGGAAAAAUGUCAUCUAUCACCCGUCUACACGCGACCGUCACCAUUGUCUGACAUAGAGCCAAAGUGUCACGGGCAGAAUCCACACACAGGCGCGCGCACACACGCACACCCAGAGGGGCACGCACCCAUCGCGUCCCCAGAUCCCCACCGACUCAGGUUUCUCUCACCCACCUUUAGAUGGGAGCGAAGGGUCCAAUCCCUUCCCUCCUUCCCUUCCUCCUUUCCUCCUUCCCUUGCGUAGUAUUUUUUGAAGAGCAAGUACUAUUCCAGAAGCUAUAACUGUUUCCCAGCUGGACCAAGCGGUGAAGUCUUUGCUAUUGUGUUACCUGGUAGGGUACGUCCCAGGAUCAACAGUCGUUUUCCUUGGAGAGGGACGCAAAAGCGUGUUCACGGAGACACAAGCUGGGACCCCCACUUCCACACGGCGUGCGCGGCUCACACACAGACACACACACACGCACGGAGUGUGUAACGAGAUCUGCAUCCCUGCAGUAGAGGGUCGGGCGUAUAUAUUGCCCGUGAAACCAUCCAGACUGGCCCAGGAAACCUUUCAGAGAAAUACUGAGCUAUCCCACCCCUCUGUAGUCCUCCUUCCACCUCCAGACAGGGGCUGGAAAGAAAAUUAAGUGGUUAGAGAAUGCUCCUUCCCCACUCCUGGGGCACUUAACAUCCCCCUUCGCAACAUAGCGCACUAACAAGCCCCAGGCAUUUAAAACUGCCGCAAAGGAUCCCAACAAACCUCAUUUUUUCUUCGUCCCAAAUCCAAAUAGACUGCAGAGAAAGUACACGCACAGGGCAGCGUGAGCCAACAGUCUGAACCCUGUAACCUCACCUGCUGUGGCUCCCCCGUAAGCAUCGCAACACACACACACACACACACUCACAGUCACUCCGCCUUACACUCUCCGACUCUCAAAAGUAGUCGCAGUGACUUCUACUUACUUCAUAAAUAAGUGUAGCCCUCCACCAUUUGGCGCUCCGCUUCAGCUAUGGAUUCGCGCAUUCAGCCCCCAUUCACUUGGCUUCAUUGAUCUCCAGCAGCAACAUAGUUAC